rnacentral:rRNA from 13 species
GGUUAGACGGAAAGACCCCGUGAACCUUUACUAUAGCUUUACACUGGAUGCUGAUGUUGUCUGUGUAGGAUAGCUGGGAGGCUUUGAAACCACGUCGCCAGAUGCGGUGGAGCCAACCUUGAAAUACCAGCCUGACAUCAUUGGCGUUCUAACUCAGGUCCGUUAUCCGGAUCGAGGACAGUGUAUGGUGGGUAGUUUGACUGGGGCGGUCUCCUCCUAAAGAGUAACGGAGGAGCACGAAGGUACCCUCAGCACGGUUGGAAAUCGUGCAUUGAGUGCAAGAGCAUAAGGGUGCUUGACUGCGAGACAGACACGUCGAGCAGGUACGAAAGUAGGUUCUAGUGAUCCGGUGGUUCUGUAUGGAAGGGCCAUCGCUCAACGGAUAAAAGGUACUCCGGGGAUAACAGGCUGAUACCGCCCAAGAGUUCAUAUCGACGGCGGUGUUUGGCACCUCGAUGUCGGCUCAUCGCAUCCUGGGGCUGUAGGCGGUCCCAAGGGUUAGGCUGUUCGCCUAUUAAAGCGGUACGCGAGCUGGGUUCAGACCGGCGUGAGCCAGGUCGGUCCCUAUCUUUCGUGGGCGUUGCACAUUUGAGAGGAGUCUUCCUUAGUACGAGAGGAUUAGGAAGGACGAACCCCUGGUGAUCCAGCUGUCGCGCUAGCGGCACCGCUGGGUAGCUAAGUUCGGCAGGGAUAACCGCUGAAAGCAUCUAAGCGGGAAGCCCCCUUCAAGAUGAGACUUCCCUGAGGCCUUGCGCCUCCUGAAGGGCCCUUGAAGACUACAAGGUUGAUAGGCUGGGUGUGGAAGCACAGCAAUGUGUUGAGCUAACCAGUACUAAUUGCCCGU